rnacentral:rRNA from 1 species
CAGCAGCCACGCCGCGUGAGUGAUGAAGGCUUUCGGGUCGUAAAGCUCUGUCAAGUGGGAAGAACCCGUGCCGUACAAAUAGUGCGGUGCGCUGACGGUACCACUGAAGGAAGCACCGGCUAACUCCGUGCCAGCAGCCGCGGUAAUACGNNGGGUGCAAGCGUUAUUCGGAAUCAUUGGGCGUAAAGAGCNUGUAGGCGGUCUUCUAUGUCAGGUGUGAAAGCCCUGGGCUCAACCCGGGAAGUGCACUUGAAACUGGGAGACUUGAGUAUGGGAGAGGGAAGUGGAAUUCCUGGUGUAGCGGUGAAAUGCGUAGAUAUCAGGAGGAACACCGGUGGCGAAGGCGACUUCCUGGACCAAUACUGACGCUGAGGCGCGAAGGCGUGGGGAGCAAACAGGAUUAGAUACCCUGGUAGUCCACGCAGUAAACGUUGAACACUAGGUGUAGCGGGUAUUGACCCCUGCUGUGCCGCAGUUAACGCAUUAAGUGUUCCGCCUGGGGAGUACGACG